GGUUAAGCUAGAUUCUUGAGGAUCUAGGAGAAAGAAGAAGAAAUCCAGAAAGAAAGUACGGGUUCUCCUACCCUAAGUUAAGGCUAGAAUGAAAGCAUGUGGUUAGACCUUUACUCUAACACAUAUUUUUAUAUAUUGUUCAUGUUUUAGUUUCAAAAUGAUUUUUUAUGAUUGUAUGAUUUAGAAUAAGUUAACUAGUAAUUCAUAAAAUCGGAAGAAGAAAAAGAAACGACUCAAAUUAGAACAUAUAGGAUCAUCAAGUUUAUUUGCACGUAUUCAUUAAAUGUAUUAUUUCAAGCAUGAAAUCGAUUACAAUGAUUAUAUGACUUCUAGUUUUAAUAUUCUUGUAUGAUUUAAACCUCAAAUAUGAAAUUCAAUCCUUAGGUUAGGAUUAUUUGAUUUAUGUCAAUAUAUAUGUCCCUAAGAUUUUAACUUAGUUUUCAUCUUUUUGUCUUUAAACGAUUGCUAUGAUUUUCGAAUGACUAAGAGUUACGAUAAGGUUAUAUGAACUAAACCAUUAAAUAUGAAAAUCCAUCCCUAGGUUAUGCAUGAUUAGAGUUAACUAAUAAUUCAAAGUAAAGAAAAUAAGAGAAAAUAUUUAAGAUGUAAUCGAUUUAAAAAUCAAAUCAAUCUUAAACUUAGAAAUUUCAUGUUUUAAGGUUCACUCAUGAAAUGUACGUAAUUGCAUGUGUAGGACCAUCAAUUAAAUUGGGGUUUUUUUAUGCUAUUUUAAAAUCUUGGUAUAAGUGUAAAGGAACUUCUUUAAAAUAUUUACGAACUUUGUUUCCUUAAGAUACAAGUUAUGAUUCGUUAGAGUUGUGAUUAAAAAUAGAAAUUUAUUCUCUUGAAUUUAACAAGGAAUACGUGUAAAUUAUAAAAGAAUAAGUAAAGAAAUUACACCGUAAAAUAUAAGAGAAUAAGUAAUGAAAUUACACCAAAACAUUUCCUUGGUGAACAUGUGACCUAAAGCCCAAGUGUUGGAGUGACCCUUGGGUUAUGAGUGGGGUCGGGUUAGUAACCUAGUGACGUACAAGAGUCGUCGGGGAGACCUUCUGCGCUCAUAGGGUCUAAUUCCGAUCUAAGUUAAGAGAGUAGGCGAGAACGAGACCUAGGUUGAAUCAAGGUUUUCUCCAGGAGGACUCUUGAUUCACUUUAAGGUUUGUUCUGAGUUCGCACUCACUUAGCUAGUACGUUGGGAAUGAAUGGACCAGGAAGAUGGUUGACCUGAAUCCAUGAUUAAGAGUUUGAACCUCGAUAUGAACGACGCGAACCAUGCUGAGGCCAACAAGUAAAGAUUGGAACUCGAAAAGUAAAAAUCUGAUGGAUUAUGCCCUUCGGGAAGUUUGAGUUAUUGUGCCCCUUUGGGGAGUCUGAUCGGUUAUUGUGCCUCUUUGGGGAGUCUGAUCGGUUAUUGUGCCCUUCAGGGAGUUUGAGCUAUUGUGCCCUUCGGGGGAGUUUGAGUUAUUGUCCCUUCGGGGAAUCUAAAUAUUUGUGCCCUUCAGGGAGUUUGAAUGAUCGAGUGAACCCAUGGGGGAACCGAAUUUGAGCUGAGAGGCUAAGUCUGAAAAUGUAACCCUUCGGGGAUAUUUGUCGGGUGAAUCAUGGGGAAAACUCGAGUGUGAUCCUGACGAGGCAAAUGGCCCGACGGGGCAGUUUGGUCGGAUCACUCCUUCGGGAUGAUUUGAGUUUGGUCGAGAUUGUGUUCCAUAUAUGAUUGAGUCUGGGGAAUGGUGAAAGUCAUUCCCAAGAGAGAGUUUGGAACCCUAUGCGUCUGGAUGGACGAUCACUACAGAAUACUUAGAGUAGAACAUGGGUAAUGACUAAAGGGAAUAUAAAAAGAAAAACGAAACAAUUAAAAGGUUGAGACAUCCGUACUGAGUUGAAUGACAACUCAUAUCCGUUCUUGUUUUAAAUUGCAGAUUGAGGGGCAGUGGCGCAGGCGUCUCGUACAUGGUGUGCCUGGGAGUUCAUUGUUUCCGCAUUUUGUAUUUUAUGAGAUUUAUUUUAUGAACCCUAAUCUAUGUAAUAAAGG
rnacentral:lncRNA from 1 species